rnacentral:rRNA from 1 species
AUUGAACGCUGGCGGCAGGCCUAACACAUGCAAGUCGAGCGGAUGAAGGGAGCUUGCUCCUGGAUUCAGCGGCGGACGGGUGAGUAAUGCCUAGGAAUCUGCCUGGUAGUGGGGGAUAACGUCCGGAAACGGGCGCUAAUACCGCAUACGUCCUGAGGGAGAAAGUGGGGGAUCUUCGGACCUCACGCUAUCAGAUGAGCCUAGGUCGGAUUAGCUAGUUGGUGGGGUAAAGGCCUACCAAGGCGACGAUCCGUAACUGGUCUGAGAGGAUGAUCAGUCACACUGGAACUGAGACCCCGUCCCAGACCCUCCGGGAGGCCGCAGUGGGGAAAUUUGGAACAUGGGCGAAAGCCUUAACCAGCCAUGCCGGGGGUGUGAAGAAGGUCUUUGGGUUUGAAAGGCCUUUAAGGUGGGAGGAAGGGCAGUAAGUUAAUACCUUGCUGUUUUGACCUUACCAAAAGAAUAAGCCCCGGCUAACUUCCU